UUAAUAAAUCACCAAAUUAAUACACGAAUGUUCCUGUGACAAUGCGAUGCACUGUUUGCUCUUCAUUCAGUGAUUUUAGUACAGCAGGCUGCAUGCUGCUCAUUUUAAACACAUUCCCCAGUUUUAAACACUUAAAACAUGUGGUAAGCUGGUAAAAGAAGUCUGCACCGUCCUGCAACCAUUUGAGGAGGUGACUGUUGAGAUAAGUACAGACAGCUAUGUCACAGCCUCCAAAAUGCUCCUGCUUUGCAAACGUCUUCAGCCAGUGACAGCCUAACACCAACUGACAGUAACCAUGCAGAAAGUAAAGGAAUUUGUUGCAGAUCUUUGUUCAGCCAUGGAUCGAAAAUAUCUGUGUUGGAGUUCAACACUGUCCUCUCAGAAACUGCAUUACUGGAUCCUAGUUUUAAAAAGCUUGUAUUCAGUGACAACAGAGCUGUUGAUGGGGCACUUCAGAGAAUAACUGCCACAGCAGCAAAAUGCACCACCCAGCUCCAGCAUUAGAGGGCCAAGUGGGGGAGGAGCCACAAACUCCUGCUGUGUGGAGGCUCUUUGAUGAAAGAGCUACAGGAGAUGCUACAAAGAGAAAUACUACAGCUGAUGUUAUAAUGGAGAUGCGAUCUUGAGUACUCCUUCAUCCAACGUGGAGAAGACCUGCUGAGCUGGUGGCAGGCCAAGGCCACAGUCUUUCCACACCUGGUGAAGGUGAUAGAGGGAUGACUGUGAAUAGUGGCAACAUCUGUUCCUUCGGAGAGAGUCUUCUCAAAAACAGGGCAGAUACUAACUGUCAUGGUCUGGGUGAGUGCCGGAUUUUUCCAUUGUGCCGGUGAGUCCACCUCUGGGUGGAGUGAGUAAUGUGAGUAAUUUGGCUGCCGGCUUUUAAGACCAGACUAACAAUGGCUAGCAGAUGAUCUGGCUAGGAGUGAUUGUGAGUGCUCUGCCAUCGUAGUUGAAGUUAACGUAUCAUAGUAUUGCUCGUACUCACCUGUUUUUCCUCUCUGCUCACAUUAAUUCUCCGGACGCCAUCCUCCAUCCUGCCAUAACUAACCUCUGUUCAGUUGCUGGUCUGUUCAGCAGCUUCACCGCUUUACUCACUUGCCUUCCUCCCUGCCCUGCUUCCUGGAAACACUUGAAUCUCUGCUCUGGACAUAUAUCACUCAGGGCUCACUCAGACCACUUACCCUUCCACGCUUCGCCUCUGCCUGCGAAAAUGACUCCGAGAAUCCUGGCACCAUUCCCCUGUCUAGCCUCCCCCUUUAGUCCCACACCACAGGGUUCCUGUAUUGGCUGUUACCCAGUAUUGGGUUCUCUGACUCCUGCUAUAAGGGCUUGUUCUCUGGACUCUCUCAUACCAUGCCGUGUGUUCACAGCUCAUAGUUCAUAGUUGUUUGUUUUUAUGAUAACAUUCAUGAUACUGUUCUAGUUAAUUGUACAUCAUAGUAUUGUUCUAGUUGGCUUUAUUGACUUUCAUUUAUAGUUCAUAGUUUAACUCGCCAAGCUCCUGAGUGCAUAGUGUUGGGAAACAUUCUGUUGCACAUUUUCACUUCUUGUAAAUAAAGUCUUGC